AUUGAACGCUGGCGGCAGGCCUAACACAUGCAAGUCGAGCGAGCGGCGGACGGGUAAGUAAUGUCUGGGAAACUGCCUGAUGGAGGGGGAUAACUACUGGAAACGGUAGCUAAUACCGCAUCCCAUCAGAUGUGCCCAGAGGGGAUUAGCUAGUAGGUGGGGUAACGGCUCACCUAGGCGACGAUCCCUAGCUGGUCUGAGAGGAUGACCAACCACACUGGAACUGAGACACGGGCCAGACUCCGACGGGAGGAAGAAGGGGGGAAUAUGGAACAAUGGGCGCAAGCCGGAUGCAGCCAUGACGCGUGUGUGAAGAAGGCCUUCGGGUUGUAAAGCACUUUAAGCGGGGAGGCGUUACCAGCAGAAGAAGCACCGGCUAACUCCGUGCCAGCAGCCGCGGUAAUUC
rnacentral:rRNA from 1 species